GGACGCAUGGCCCAGUGGUAAGGCGCUCGCCUUCGACAUAGGAUGAGCAGCUUGCCUUCAUGAGAGCGAGAGAUCGUCGGUUCGACCCCGGCUGCGUUCA
rnacentral:tRNA from 1 species